UCCAGUGGAUGUGAGUCUAAACAAGAACCUGUGGAAGGGAUUGAAGAAGUGGAAGCAGAAUUAGAAGCUGAGUUAGAGCGCUUGGAGCUUCAGUUGGAUGCUGAAGCCUCUUCCAAGCAAUCAUAUCAGGAAAUGAUAAAGGUUGCCCCCAAGUAAUCUGCUUCAGCAAGUGGCUGUAGCACGAGUUUUGGGAAAUUAAUGAACCCCAGAGACGAAGUGACUGAAGUUCAGAGCGGAGGGGAGUUUCCCCUGUUGAGCUCGAGAGGAGGUUUCAUGAGCAAGAUUGCAAGAACGAAUCAAAGAGCUUGAAGCAUCUUUAGGGCGUUUGGAGCAUAAGCUAUCUGAGAAAGAGAGAGAGAUCUUGUGGUGGAAAGACACUGCCCUUCUCCGGUCGCAGCAUGUAUCUGAGCCUUCUCAUGGUGGUCUCGCUGACAACGGAACUUCGAAAUGUUGAACUCAAAACUGAAAAAUUGAUUUGAAUGGUGUGCUACUUUUCUUUUCCUUUUCUUAUCCUUUCUGUGACGGAUAAAGGGACACAUAAAGAAAUGCUAUGAUCUGAUAUAGAGCUUGAAUUUGCUCGCUCAAAUACUUUCAUACUCAUCCAAAGCUUUCUUUUAUUAAUUUGAGAAGAGAGUCCCAUGUGCAUUACCCUAA